CAGAAUGUUUAUUACACAAGCAAUCAGCAGCUCCAUGUGGGUGUUCUGAGUCCCACUAUCGACGAUGAUGACAACAGAUGCCUGGUGGAUGUCAACAGCAGGCCCAGGCUCAUUGAAUGCAAUUAUGCCAAAGCCAAGAGAAUGAAGCUUUACUGGCAGUUUACUCAGGGAGGUCCAAUCCAGAACAGAAAAUCCAAGCGUUGCCUGGAAUUGCAGGAAAACAAUGAAAAUGAAUUUGGAUUUCAACUCGUCCUUCAGAAAUGCACUGGACAACGCUGGUCUAUAACAAAUGUCCUGAAAAGCUUGUCAUCAUAGCAGACUAAAUUUUGUACCCAUUUCUUUUGCUACUGUGUAGCAAAUACUGCAUUGUUGCCUGCUGUACUGUAUUCCUCUUGCCCCUCAUCACCCCCCACCCUGGUUUCUUUUCUUCUCUGUCCCUUGGAUUUUAUUUUGUGCGUGUGUGGAAAUUGGGUUUGUGGGCUGAAAAUAAGACGUUUUUUAUUUCACAAUGAUGUUUUCAUGCCAUUUAUAGAGACACUGAAUGACAGGUGAUGGGUAGGCUAUCCUACAAUAUUUUACGACUGUAAAUAGGAAACAAAUGGAAAAUAUUUAUAACUCAAACUUUUAUUGAAUAAAAAAGUCCAAACACU